rnacentral:pre_miRNA from 14 species
GGGCCCUGCCCCAAGGAGCUCACAAUCUAGUGAGCUGCCUACACAGUCUUCCCAGUUAGAU